AUCCAAUUGACGAGUUCCAAACGCGACGAAACGCGCGUCUUACAU
rnacentral:hammerhead_ribozyme from 1 species